AGCGUCCUGUAUGCUUGCCUGCAGGUGCGCCAAUGCUCAGCAGAGGGCACUAGGGUAACAGAUGAUUUUGCGAGCUGCCUGAAGAGGGUCAGGUAAAAGGGCAGCAAGCGUUCUUAAACUGCUGAGCCAUCUCUCCAAACCCUAGGCCCUCUUGGUGUUCUUUGCUGGGGGUGAGGGAUGAAGGAAGGGGUGGGCGGAGAGCUGGGGGAUUUGAAACCCUUCUUCUGAGCUUUAAGCUGCACGUAGACAAUAUCUACAUGUGUGGCAAUUGAAGCUGAAGCGGCAGCAACAUCUCCCUGGCGUGUGGGAGUCAGUGGCUUUCAGGCUAGUCACUGCAUGGACUAGUAAGGCAGCUCCUGCUCCCAGCACCGUGCAUCUGAUGCUCCGUUGUCAAAGUCACAGAAAAUCUGGUGGCCUUUGUAAGCCCCUCCUGCAACUGCAGGGAGUCUGAGUCCAUGGUGAUCUUCUGGACAGAGACAAAGGAAGGAAAGGUGUAAUAUGGCCACUAACCUGCUCCACACCCCUUUCCUGUCUGCUGACACCCUCAGAGGCCCUCCAUCCCAACCUGCUAUGUGGGAAAAGUCCUCUAUUUUUUCAUAUUGAGAAGGACAACCCAAUGUGGUUAUAAAACCACCCUGGCUUAACGUUCCAGACACUGCUGCCAACACCCGGAGCUGUUUGUUCCUGAUUUCUGUUUAAGGUCAGGUCGGUACUUUCCAGUAAAACCCCCUUAAACUGGCCUCUGCCCAUAUUUGACUAACAAAGCGAAGAGACGCCUUCCUGUUUAGCACAGUCAGAUCUUCCUCAUUAGCUAGCUGUCUUUCAAGCUGUCCUAAGCUGCAGGCUUUGCUGCUCUGCUUAUAGUCCUGUGAUCAGAGACACAGACUCCUGUGACAGCUGCUUCUUACUCACCAGAAUUGCAUGUUUUCUGAAACAGGAUUUCUCUAUUUUGUGGAGAAACUCUAUGGUUGAUUCUUCCUGCUUUUGGACUGAAAAUGGGUAGUUCUUUGCACACCAAGCUUCCCAUUCUUCUGUUCUGCUUUUUCUCAUUUCCCUGAGAAGAAUUUUAAAUGGAUCAAAGGAAUGAAUGUCAGCCACCAAACUGAGAAGUUUAUUUACCUUUGAAUACCUGUACCUUUGUUAGAAUAAUAAAUUCU